rnacentral:rRNA from 1 species
GGAGCCUCUUUAUGGGGUGACUGCGUACCUUUUGUAUAAUGGGUCAGCGACUUAUAUUCUGUAGCAAGGUUAACCGAAUAGGGGAGCCGAAGGGAAACCGAGUCUUAACUGGGCGUUAAGUUGCAGGGUAUAGACCCGAAACCCGGUGAUCUAGCCAUGGGCAGGUUGAAGGUUGGGUAACACUAACUGGAGGACCGAACCGACUAAUGUUGAAAAAUUAGCGGAUGACUUGUGGCUGGGGGUGAAAGGCCAAUCAAACCGGGAGAUAGCUGGUUCUCCCCGAAAGCUAUUUAGGUAGCGCCUCGUGAAUUCAUCUCCGGGGGUAGAGCACUGUUUCGGCAAGGGGGUCAUCCCGACUUACCAACCCGAUGCAAACUGCGAAUACCGGAGAAUGUUAUCACGGGAGACACACGGCGGGUGCUAACGUCCGUCGUGAAGAGGGAAACAACCCAGACCGCCAGCUAAGGUCCCAAAGUCAUGGUUAAGUGGGAAACGAUGUGGGAAGGCCCAGACAGCCAGGAUGUUGGCUUAGAAGCAGCCAUCAUUUAAAGAAAGCGUAAUAGCUCACUGGUCGAGUCGGCCUGCGCGGAAGAUGUAACGGGGCUAAACCAUG